UACGUAGGGGGCAAGCGUUGUCUGGAUUUAUUGGGCGUAAAGAGCGUGUAGGCGGCCAGGUAGGUCUGCUGUGAAAACUCGAGGCUCAACCUCGAGACGUCGGCGGAAACCAUCUGGCUAGAGUCCGGUAGAGGAGAGUGGAAUUCCUGGUGUAGCGGUGAAAUGCGCAGAUAUCAGGAAGAACACCCGUGGCUAAGGCGGCUCUCUAGUACGGUACUGACGCUGAGACGCGAAAGCGUGGGGAGCGAACAGG
rnacentral:rRNA from 1 species